GGGGAAGUGAUGAAUAUUUCCCCAGAUGAUCGAAGCUGAACAUACUGUACGAUUUGUUAAUCUCUAAAUCGUUAGAGAUUGGAAGCCAGUGUUCAUAAGAUUUAU
rfam:Gossypium hirsutum cultivar TM-1 chromosome 23, whole genome shotgun sequence